rnacentral:rRNA from 1 species
UGGCGACGGGUGAGUAACACGUGGGCAAUCUGCCCUUCACUCUGGGACAAGCCCUGGAAACGGGGUCUAAUACCGGAUAACACUCUGUCCCGCAUGGGACGGGGUUAAAAGCUCCGGCGGUGAAGGAUGAGCCCGCGGCCUAUCAGCUUGUUGGUGGGGUAAUGGCCUACCAAGGCGACGACGGGUAGCCGGCCUGAGAGGGCGACCGGCCACACUGGGACUGAGACACGGCCCAGACUCCUACGGGAGGCAGCAGUGGGGAAUAUUGCACAAUGGGCGAAAGCCUGAUGCAGCGACGCCGCGUGAGGGAUGACGGCCUUCGGGUUGUAAACCUCUUUCAGCAGGGAAGAAGCGAAAGUGACGGUACCUGCAGAAGAAGCGCCGGCUAACUACGUGCCAGCAGCCGCGGUAAUACGUAGGGCGCAAGCGUUGUCCGGAAUUAUUGGGCGUAAAGAGCUCGUAGGCGGCUUGUCACGUCGGAUGUGAAAGCCCGGGGCUUAACCCCGGGUCUGCAUUCGAUACGGGCUAGCUAGAGUGUGGUAGGGGAGAUCGGAAUUCCUGGUGUAGCGGUGAAAUGCGCAGAUAUCAGGAGGAACACCGGUGGCGAAGGCGGAUCUCUGGGCCAUUACUGACGCUGAGGAGCGAAAGCGUGGGGAGCGAACAGGAUUAGAUACCCUGGUAGUCCACGCCGUAAACGUUGGGAACUAGGUGUUGGCGACAUUCCACGUCGUCGGUGCCGCAGCUAACGCAUUAAGUUCCCCGCCUGGGGAGUACGGCCGCAAGGCUAAACUCAAGGAAUUGACGGG